rnacentral:lncRNA from 1 species
UCAGCAUGGGAAGAGAAAGAGAGCUGCUCAGAGCUGUGGUCAAUAGCUAAAGAUUAUUUUUCUAUUUCUGAAUGUUUUCCCCACUUUACUUGACAGAUCCACUGGAGCAUAGUGCAAUAAUAGAAUCGUCAAGACUGCUCUUCCUGGGCUGCAGUCAAAGAACUCUUGUUCUCCGUUGCUGUGGGAUUUUCUAGAGUUUAUCAAUGUAAGGGAGUUUUCUUCUAUCCCUAGGCCACUGUAAGUGUUUACUCAAAAUUCCCAUUGGAUGCCAGCAAAGCUUUUUCAUCUUUUCAUUGGAAUGUUCAUUGUUAAAAAUCUCUAACUAUAGUGAUGUUCCUUUGCUGAAGGUCUUUUAGUUCACGUAUAGCUUUGUUCCAUUUGGUCAAGGUGCUGUUAUCUUGGUGAACUUCUGGGUGUUAUUUGGUAACAUUAAAUAGGAUUUUUAUAUAAAUAUUAAAAGAUAGGGCUUAUCUGUUUCUCCUCCUCCUCUUCUUCCUCCUCCUCCUCCUCCUCUUCUUUUGAGACAAGGUCUCAGAAUGUGACCCUGUCUGGCCUGGAAUGUGAUAUAUAGACCAGGCUGAACUCAAAGAGAUGCAUCUGCUUCUGCCUUCAGAGUACUGGGUUAAAAGAUGUGACCCACCAAGCAAAGCAAUGUCUAUGCUCCCUGAUGUCUUCAACAACAGAAUUUUGGUUUUUGUGUGUGCUCAUGUGUGUUUGCAAAUUGCUAUCUUAGAAAUCUAAAAAGUAGCCAGGCAGUGGUGGCGCACGCCUUUAAUGCCAGCACUUGGGAGGCAGAGGCAGGCGGAUUUCUGAGUUGAAGGCCAGCCUGGUCUACAGAGUGAGUUCCAGGACAGCCAGGGCUGCACAGAGAAACCCUGUCUCGAAAGAAAGAAGGAAAGAAAGAAAGAAAGAAAGAAAGAAAGAAAGAAAGAAAGAAAGAAAGAAAGAAAGAAAGAAAGAGGAGAAAGAGGAGAAAAAAGAAAAGAAAAGAAGAGAAGAGAAAAGAAGAGAAAAGAAAAGAAAAGAAAAGAAAAGAAAAGAAAAGAAAAGAAAAGAAAAGAGAAGAAAAGAGAAGAAAAGAAAAGAAAUCUAAAAAGUUCAUGUGGAAUGC